GGUUUGGGGUCUGUGCACCCAUGAGCCCGCUCUGUUGCUAAAGUUUGGCUGUUCUCUUGUUACAGGUGAGCCUUCUCAGCCCCGUCACGAGGGGGAUGGCUGCCAUGCAAUGGCCGUGGGAAGAACACCUCUAAAUGGCACCCACUGAUACUUAAAUGACUGUGGAAAUUAGUAAGAGAUUUUACUUUUCCCUACUACGUUCACUCACUGUAUUUGGAGGAUAUGAUCCCCAUGACAAAUACCAGGUAUCAUAUCGCUUCAUGUAACUUCAUUUGCACUUAUACAAAGAACGGUAUGGCUUAAAGUCAAGGCUCUUUGUCUCAAAAUAUCACAGUAACAUUUUCCUUCCAGUCUCUUUCUACUCUUAACAUCACUCUUUCUUCUGCCUUCUUCAUUAGUGAAAAAUCAACCCUUCAAAUGCUGGUCCUCUUAAGGAUAAAUUCCUCCUUCUGUAUUUUUCUUGCUGCUCUUACUCACUGGGUCCAUGACAUUCAAACUCCGAUUUGUGCUAUGUAAUUUUAAUGAAGGUUUAAAUUCUUCAUAUGUUGCAAGCAACUGUGCUGGAGGGAGCCACAGCAAAGCUCCUCCAGAUAAGAGAGAAGUUGAAUAUAAUUCAAAGUGCUUGCAGCUCUUGCCCUCCCAUUAGCUCUUCCCUCUGGAGUAGUACGGGAGAAGAAAUUCCUGGAAAAAGUGGUUUGUGUUGAAAAAGACCUUAAGCAGUGAUUUUUUUCUCUAUUAGGAGGAAGAGAGCCCAAAAGAGCUGUACCAGCUGCCUGGGCAGGAGAUGAGAGACAAGCAACCAGAAUCCAUUGCUGUGGCUUCUAAGCCCUGGCUCAAAGUGGUAAAGGAAGAAGACGGUCUGCAGGAACCCCAGCAGUGGCUGGGAGAGGAGAAGAAAAUCAAGCAGCUAGAAGCAUGGACGGCUGCCUCUGGCACAUGGCUGAGCAGAACAGUGAAGGUGAGUUCUGGCUCCAGCAAAGCCCCCAGGUUACGUGUCUGGGGUGUCCAGGGGGUUCCUG
rnacentral:lncRNA from 1 species